UUUAAUGUUUAUAUUUUAAAUUACUUUUCCUAGAGUUCCGGGUUUUCAGAAAUCCCAGUAGAAAAAAAUAAGGUGGUUUAGUUUCAUGUUAUAUAUUUUAUCAAACAAUAUUGGUUAGUUGAAGUUAACGGAGAAACUACUAUUGAUUAUUUGACAUUUACACCAAGUGGAAGGAUCAGAGGACAAAAAUGACUCCUUCCAAAAAGAAAACUGUAAACUACAGUUAAAGAAUUAAAAGGACUGAAAACUCCUAAUCCCAGAAUUUUUUAAGUUCCCCAGCAUUCAAAUCAAUAAAUGUUUAGAUCCAGACUUUGCAGGAAUCAUUUUUCAUGAAUACAAGAAGACUGAUGAACACUGACCUAAGUAUAAAGUUAAAUGUUUUUGAAAAUAAUCUUUUUCAAUAUUUAAUAAAUAUUCAAUACUUACAUUUUUUGGUAUGUAGGUAGGUAUAUAGGCAGUUAGGUAGAGAGGAUAGUAAAGUUGGAGGGUAGAAAAGUAAGUAGAGAAGUUUGUAGGUAUUAGUUAGGGAGACAAGUAGGUAAGUAGGUAUGUAGGUAGGUAUAUAAGUAGGUAGGGACUAGGAAGACAUGUUAUAGAGGGAUUGAAAGCUAUUCAAGAUAGGUUAUAGGUGCUGCUAAACAGAUUGAAACUAUUUAAAUAAUAUAUUUAUUUAGGGUCAGUCCAUAUGAAAUCAGCCACCUGUUGUGUUAUUUAUUUUAUGGUUCUCAAUUAUUUGUUGAAGAAUGUAGCUGGAGUGCGGUUUUGUAAAUUGAGAGCACUCCCUUAGCGUAUUUUGUAAGUUUGGAACAAUUCCAUAAAUAAUUUGAUUAAAUUUGUGAUUUGGAUCUAAAAAAUAAUAUUCUUUGUUAUUUUUUACAUAUUCUGUUUGUUUAUUUACUGUUUGUUUAUAACUUUAAACCGGUUUACACUAAAAUCCAUGCAGUAUCCUUGGUCAUCUGGUCUCACUACCAGUUGGAUUUUGUUUGAGAAAUCGGCGGAUCUGAGCAGACAUUCCAGUUCAUUUCAGAGCAUUACGGCUCAUUUUGGUUUACAGCAGAGUCAUUAAAGAAAACUUAUUGCUCUCUUCCAGGCAAACUUAUUGCCUAACACUCUGCUUUACAGUCUACUCAACCUUUGCUCUGCUCAACCCCCUAUCAGCAAAACAAGUGAGGAGAAACUUUUAUUCUCUGCCAAGUCAUGCAUAGAGCUAAAUUGCUCAGUUUGGUUUAAUUCCUCUAAAAACUAUAUAUAUUGGUCAAGAUUAUUGCUCCAAUAAAGUAAAGCAACUUAUUUCCAUAAGCUAAGUUUAAUUGCUAAUUUAGUGUGUAACUGUAUAACACACUAUUAUUGCUAUCCAAAUAUCAAAGGAAUUGAGUCUUUGACACAAAAUUCAAAUUGUCUAAUCCCUAUAUGUUCGC